GGGGUCGACUUGGAUUUCGACGGGAGCUAAAUAGCCUCGGUUGCAUGUCGGCAUGGGCACGCCGUAAAACUACCCGCAAUCAAUAAACGCAAACAACGCAAACUACGCUCCCGCUUACGCCAAAGCUGCGUAAGUCUAACUCUUCGGAGCCGUCAAGCCUCACAAUGCUAACUAGUGGGGAUUUGGCGUAACUUUGUUAGCCGCUCUCUCGUCUCAUCCGAAGCGAGGGAAAAGAUUAGGAUUGCCCAUCACUUCCGCCUUGGGGGCUUGAGCAAAGCGAUGGAAAGAGCUUUCAACCCCAUCUAAGCAUGUAGAGACUGGGGUGGGUUUGGCUUUCGGACUGGGGUUCGAUUCCCCACGACUCCACCA
rnacentral:tmRNA from 12 species